rnacentral:rRNA from 1 species
AGUGGCGGACGGGUGCGUAACGCGUACGUAACCUGCCUUCGGGCGGGGGACAACGGUUCGAAAGGACCGCUAAUACCCCGUAAUGCAGCGGGCCCAUAAGGGCAAUAGUUGUUAAAGGCUUCGGCCGCCUGAAGAGGGGCGUGCGUCCGAUUAGAUAGUUGGCGGGGUAACGGCCCACCAAGUCUGCGAUCGGUAACUGGUCUUAGAGGACGAUCAGUCACACUGGCACUGAGACACGGGCCAGACUCCUACGGGAGGCAGCAGUAGGGAAUAUUGGGCAAUGGGCGAAAGCCUGACCCAGCCACGCCGCGUGAGGGAAGACGGGGCAUAGCCUUGUAAACCUCUUUGGCUCGGGACUAAGGCGGGCAUAACUUGUCCGUUUGAAGGUACCGAGAGAACAAGCGCCGGCAAACUACGUGCCAGCAGCCGCGGUAAUACGUAGGGCGCAAGCGUUAUCCGGAUUUACUGGGUUUAAAGGGUGCGUAGGCGGCGGAAUAAGUCUGUGAUGAAAUGCGGAGGCUCAACCUCCCGCGCCGUUACGGAUACUGUUUCGCUUGAGUUCGGAUGAGGCGACCGGAAUGAGUGGUGUAGCGGUGAAAUGCGUAGAGAUCACUCAGAACACCGAUUGCGAAGGCAGGUCGCCGGGCCGAUACUGACGCUGAGGCACGAAAGCGUGGGGAGCAAACAGGAUUAGAUACCCUGGUAGUCCACGCCCU